AUCGCCUGUUUAUCAAAAACAUAACUGUAAGAGCAUAUAUUUACAGCAAUUUCUGCUCAAUGAUUUAUUUUAAUAGCCGCAGUACCCUGACUGUGCUAAGGUAGCAUAAUCAAUUGGCUCAUAAUUGGAGUCUCGUAUGAAUGAAUUCAUGGGGGUUAGCUGUUUCAUAUUAAUAUUGUUAAAUUAUUUAUUAAGUGAAAAUACUUAAAAAUAAAAAAUAGACGAGAAGACCCUAGAAAUUUUUAAUUUAAUAAAUACCUUUUUGUUGGGGCGACAAAGUAGCAAAUAACAACCUACUUAAGUUUUACUGGAAUAUUAUAUUAUGAGUGAAUAAAUUACUCUAGGGAUAACAGCAUAAUAUUUAAAAGUUUGUGACCUCGAUGUUGGAUUAGGAAAACUAUACUUAGAAGGUUAAUAUUUUUGCUCUGUUCGAGCAACCCUCUCCUACGUGAUCUGAGUUCAGACCGG
rnacentral:rRNA from 1 species